UAAGCCACACCUGGCUGUAUUGUCAUCUCUCUUUUCUUUUCUCUUUAAAAUAGGCUACGUAGCUUUGUGAUGUUAGAGCCACACUCCAGCAUAUCCGGGUGGCCCACGGCUGCAGUGAGACGGCGCCUCUGUGAGCCUGUGGAUUCUGGAAGGCGGAGCCAGGAGUCGGAGGAUGGUGAACCAGGGGAAGACCUAGCUGAGGUGCGCGGGUGCUCUGCUCAGCAAAAAUGGGGGCAGGCCGCUGCCUCCCAUCCGGUCGUGUCUGAGCUACAGCUUCAUCAAAUGCGUUUUUGAGGCAGGAAGAAAAUGUACGAAUAUGAACUGACUACUCAGUCCAGAUAGUUCAUACACAGGCAUGUUUGCUGUCUGUGAAAACCUCCAAGGGUGAGUAUUGUUUGGUCCGUUUUCCCAGGUGAGAAAACAGGAUGCCACAUAAGUCACGUAACUUGGCGGAGAGUUUGAAACGUCUUUGAUGCCAGAGUCACCAGUUUAUCAGCUCUUUUCCUUUCUUUUUUCUUUUCUUUUCUUUUCUUUUCUUUUCUUUUUUUCUUUUCUUUUCUUUCUUUUCUUUUCUUUUUUUCUUUUCUUUUCUUUUUUUCUUUUUUUCUUUUCUUUUUUUUUUGCAAUUGGAUAAAUAUUUAUGGAGGUUUUGGUAGGUGGACUCCUGGCCUAGUGGGAGAAACAAAUAAGAAGUCUCAGCUCGCAGUUAUAAGGGGGUUUCAAGGAGGGAGCCCGUGAUAAGUAAAGUUGAAAUUGGCCUCCAGAGAGAGAGGUGGGAGGUGGAAGGGAGAGAGCUCUGCUGGAGGUAACACGGGGUCGUGGCUGUAGAGGACCAGCUGUGGGUUUCCAGGUGGAGAUGUAGAUGGGCGGCUGGGACAGUGGUGGGCCUCGUGCGCUGACCAGAGUGUUCAGAGCGUCGAGAUGCAGAGAGCUUUACGCUCAACGCUGGGACCUUGAAGAAGUCACCAAGGAGUAUCCUUGUCUGGUCCUGCCCCAUUAUGACUUAGUGCGAUGCCCCAUUAUGACUUAGUGUGAUGCCCUUGGGGCCCUAAGAGCCCUCUGUUAGCGUGACAAGAAGACAGUGAUUGGAUUCGCUUAGGAAUGUCAGCAGAAGGUCCACAGAGAGGCUUACAUUUUUUUGAGUUUCAAUUUUCUUAACGUGCAGUGUAUUGUUAGUUGCAGGGGUAGAGCUCAGUGCUUCGUCUGUUGUGUAUGAACCCGGGGCUCACCCCAUCACCUGCCCUCCUUCAUGCCCAUUGCCCAGUCACCCCAUCUGCUCACCCACCUCUCCUCCAGCAACCAAGAGGUCGUAUCGUUGAGCUGGGUCUGGAAGAGGUAAGGAAUUAUUCCAGCAGAACACAGAGGAGGGCAGUGGAGGAGAGAAACAGAAAGAACAACAACAAAAAUGCAUGAUGAGUGUGUGUGCAUGUGUGUGUGUGUGUGUGUGUGUGUGCACGUCGGAGGGGGGAGGUAAGUAGCUGGUACUUUCCUUUGACUGUAUAUUGCAAUGCUUUCUGGGGUUCUGUGCAGUUCCCAAAGCAGACUUUGAUAUUUAAAGCCAUCUCAAAAUGCUAAAAGAAUCCUACUAUAAUGAUAAAAAUUUCUGACCCCCCCUAAGUGGCAGGAGAUGUAGAUGAGGGAUUUUGUGUGUGUGUGUGUGUGUGUGUGUGUGCUUCCAAUAAUGCUGCGUGAGCAGCUCUCCACGAAGCUCCAGUGCGUGACUCAGCCUGCUGGUUUCUGGAACAAACAAAGGGCAGAAGUGUGUUCCUGUUAACGCCGGCAUCGGGGGGUGCGGAGUAUCAGGCAGUGAUGUGGAUGGGCUAAAUGGGAACAAACUGAAAGGGAAUGAGUCAUAGGCCAUCUCAGCUGAGCAGCUCUACUGCACAUAACCGCACUUUAAAAAAGAAAUUUGAAGCCGUUAUUUUCAACGUGGCUACUUAAUCUACUCGAGAUGGUUGGACUGCAGCUGCCAUUAGGGUGAGGAGUUUGUGUUCUUGGGGGAAGAGCGACUUUAGGUUUUGCUUGUGGUUCCAUAUUUCCGCAGUCGUGUGUACACACCACAGACCUCCGUUUGUUAGAGUCAGGCUUUCUCACUGACAGGGCUAAUGGCCAUGCUCCAGAAGCUCGUUCUUCCCGGUUAGGCAGCGACCGUCCAAAGCAUCUCCUCUAUCAUGAAAUAUAAGGGCAGUAAAACCAAUCCUUAGGAGGUCCUGUUACGGCCGUAUUUAUAGAUGGUCGUUGUUCACUGGGAGGAGAGCAGCGCGGGGGGACCAUGGCUUAGAAGAGGAGCAGCAUGUCUACAGAGCCCUCCUCAAGAUUCCAGAGGAAUAAAAUGUAUGAUUAAAGUGUCCUUUGCA
ensembl:lncRNA